GCUAUGGGGUCAGGCUAUAGGGUCAGGCUAUAGGGUCAGGCUGUAGGGUCAGGCUAUAGGGCUAUGGGGUGGGCUAUGGGGUCAGGCUAUAGGGUCAGGCUAUAGGGUCAGGCUAUAGGGCUAUAGGGUGGGCUGUAGGGCCGUUGCAGGCAGAGCAGCAGUGACUCCUUUUAUUGCGGGGUGGCGCCGCGCUGCGCCCUACAAAACGUCGCCCCAAACCCCAAACCCCAAAAGCUGCCCCC